CGCACCUUGCGCCCUUUGGUAUUCCGAAGGGCAUGCCUGUUUGAGUGUCAUGAAACCUCAUCCUAACUGGGUUUUCUAAUCCGGUUAGUGAUGGCUUGGGCGUCUGCCAAUCUUGGCUCGCCUUAAAUGUAUUAGUAACGUUUGGAUGUAAUAAGUUUCGUCCUGUCUGUUGCUUACAACACACCAUAUACUUCAAAUCUGACCUCAAAUCAGGUAGGGCUACCCGCUGAACUUAA
rnacentral:misc_RNA from 1 species